AAAGAGGAGAAGCGAGGAUGUUGUGAGCCUGGAGGCCAGCAGCAGCGCAGAGCAGCUGCAGAGGCUGGAGCUGCAGCAUGCCCUGGACAGCAACAGUGCUGGCAUUGAGGACCCCAGCCUUCAGGCAGAGCAGAGAUCUGUGGAGAGCACCCUGCUGCUGCCCAGCCACAGCCUGGACUCAGGGCCUGCCUCGCCCUCAAAGCAAAAUCAG
rnacentral:lncRNA from 1 species